rnacentral:rRNA from 1 species
UACGAAGGGGGUUAGCGUUGCUCGGAAUCACUGGGCGUAAAGCGCACGUAGGCGGAUUGCUAAGUCAGGGGUGAAAUCCUGGAGCUCAACUCCAGAACUGCCCUUGAUACUGGCGACCUUGAGUCCGGGAGAGGUGAGUGGAACUGCGAGUGUAGAGGUGAAAUUCGUAGAUAUUCGCAAGAACACCAGUGGCGAAGGCGGCUCACUGGCCCGGUACUGACGCUGAGGUGCGAAAGCGUGGGGAGCAAACAGG